UUGCUGUGGUAUUUUGACUAUACGAAGGUAUUGAAAUAAGAUUUUAAAUGAGUGCUAAGAGAAUGAUUAAACAAUUAAAAGCUUUCUUUAAUUGAAUAAUUGAAUUUAAUUUUUUAGUGCAAAAGCAAAAAUAAAAAUUAGGGACAAGAAGACCCUAUGAAUUUUUUAUUAAAUUUUAUAAAACUUUAUAUAAAAUUUAAUUUAAUUGGGGUGAUGGAAAAAGAAUAAAUAUCUUUUUUUUUAAAAAAAAAUUGGUUCCGUUUUUAGCGAUUAAAUGAAAAAAAUACUCUAGGGAUAACAGCGUAAUAAUUUUGGAUAGUUCAUAUAGAUAAAAUAGUUUGCGACCUCGAUGUUGGAUUAGGAU
rnacentral:rRNA from 1 species